rnacentral:rRNA from 1 species
GACGAACGCUGGCGGCGUGCCUAAUACAUGCAAGUAGAACGCUGAAGGAGGAGCUUGCUUCUCUGGAUGAGUUGCGAACGGGUGAGUAACGCGUAGGUAACCUGCCUGGUAGCGGGGGAUAACUAUUGGAAACGAUAGCUAAUACCGCAUAAGAGUAGAUGUUGCAUGACAUUUGCUUAAAAGGUGCAAUUGCAUCACUACCAGAUGGACCUGCGUUGUAUUAGCUAGUUGGUGGAGUAACGGCUCACCAAGGCGACGAUACAUAGCCGACCUGAGAGGGUGAUCGGCCACACUGGGACUGAGACACGGCCCAGACUCCUACGGGAGGCAGCAGUAGGGAAUCUUCGGCAAUGGACGGAAGGCUGACCGAGAAACGCCGCGUGAGUGAAGAAGGUUUUCGGAUCGUAAAGCUCUGUUGUAAGAGAAGAACGAGUGUGAGAGUGGAAAGUUCACACUGUGACGGUAGCUGACCAGAAAGGGACGGCUAACUACGUG